AGUUUGAUCAUGGCUCAGGACGAACGCUGGCGGCGUGGAUUAGGCAUGCAAGUCGAACGGUAUCGGUUCCUUCGGGGAUCGAGAGAGUGGCGAACGGGUGAGUAACACGUAGGUUAUCUGCCCUCGAGAUCGGGACAACCCAGGGAAACUUGGGCUAAUACCGGAUGCGUGCUACUGUAGUGGUAGCAUAAAAGGUGGCAUUUGCUGCCGCUUGAGGAUGAGCCUGCGUCCUAUUAGUUAGUUGGUGAGGUAAUGGCUUACCAAGGCGAUGAUAGGUAGGCGGCCUUAACGGGUGGUCGCCCACACUGGGAUUGAGAUACGGCCCAGACUCCUACGGGAGGCAGCAGUCGAGAAUAGUCUACAAUGGUCGAAAGACUGAUAGUGCGACGCCGCGUGAACGAAGACUCCUUUCGGGGUGUAAAGUUCUUUUAUAUGUGAGCAGUGGAUGUUACAUUAAUAGUGUGAUAUCAGGGAUAUUAGCAUAUGAAUAAGCAACGGCUAACUCCGUGCCAGCAGCCGCGGUAACACGGGGGUUGCGAGCGUUGUCCGGAAUUACUAGGCGUAAAGGGCAGGUAGGCGGAGAUGUAAGUUUGAUGUUAAAGGUACUGGCUCACCCAGUGUACGGCAUCAGAUACUGCAUUUCUUGAAUACGGUUGGGGAAGACAGAAUUCCUGGUGUAGCGGUGGAAUGCGCAGAGAUCAGGAGGAAUACCGAAGGCGAAGGCAGUCUUCUAAGCCGGUUAUUGACGCUAAACUGCGAAGGUGUGGGUAUCAAACAG
rnacentral:rRNA from 1 species